UGAGGAAUAUUGGUCAAUGGACGCAAGUCUGAACCAGCCAAGUAGCGUGCAGGAUGACGGCCCUAUGGGUUGUAAACUGCUUUUAUAUGGGGAUAAAGUGGGGAACGUGUUCCCUUUUGCAGGUACCAUAUGAAUAAGGACCGGCUAAUUCCGUGCCAGCAGCCGCGGUAAUACGGAAGGUUCGGGCGUUAUCCGGAUUUAUUGGGUUUAAAGGGAGCGUAGGCCGUUUGGUAAGCGUGUUGUGAAAUGUAGGAGCUCAACUUCUAGAUUGCAGCGCGAAAUGUCAGACUUGAGUGCGCACAACGUAGGCGGAAUUCAUGGUGUAGCGGUGAAAUGCUUAGAUAUAAUGAAGAACUACGAUUGCGAAGGCAGCUUACGGGAGCGCAAAUGACGCUGAAGCUCGAAGGUGCGGGUAUCGAACAGG
rnacentral:rRNA from 1 species